AGAGCUCAACAAAACAAAGCCCAUCUGGACCAGAAAUCCCGACGAUAUUACUAAUGAGGAGUACGGAGAAUUCUAUAAGAGCUUGACCAAUGACUGGGAAGAUCACUUGGCAGUGAAGGUGAGUGACUGAUGGGUGCUUCAAGCUUGUCCUUAGAUUAUCAUCUUUCUCCACCACCCCAAAUAUCUUCUAUAAUGCAUUGUUCAUUGGUACUUAGUGUAUCUGUUUUAUUACAGCAUUUUUCAGUUGAAGGACAGUUGGAAUUCAGAGCCCUUCUAUUUGUCCCACGACGUGCUCCUUUUGAUCUGUUUGAAAACAGAAAGAAAAAGAACAACAUCAAAUUGUAUGUACGCAGAGUUUUCAUCAUGGAUAACUGUGAGGAGCUAAUCCCUGAAUAUCUGAACUUCAUUAGAGGGGUGGUAGACUCGGAGGAUCUCCCUCUAAACAUAUCCCGUGAGAUGUUGCAACAAAGCAAAAUUUUGAAAGUUAU
rnacentral:lncRNA from 1 species